UGCAACGUCGUACGCGAAAGCCGCAUUUCGAGUGUCAGGAUGUAGUAAAGUGGCGCACGGGUGAGUAACGCGUGGAUAAUCUGCCUUCGGGCUUGGGACAACUCCGGGAAACUGGAGCUAAUACCGAAUAAGACCACAGAGUCCUCGGAUUCAGUGGCCAAAGGUGGCCUCUUCUUGAAAGCCAUCGCCCGUUGAUGAGUCCGCGUCCCAUUAGCUAGUUGGUGAGGUAACGGCUCACCAAGGCUCCGAUGGGUAGCUGGUCUGAGAGGAUGACCAGCCACACUGGAACUGAGACACGGUCCAGACUCCUACGGGAGGCAGCAGUCGGGAAUCUUGGGCAAUGGGCGCAAGCCUGACCCAGCAACUCCGCGUGAGGGAUGAAGGCCUUCGGGUCGUAAACCUCUGUCGGGAGGGAAGAAACGCCGCGAGGCGAACAGUCUCGCGGUUUGACGGUACCUCCAAAGGAAGCGCCGGCUAACUCUGUGCCAGCAGCCGCGGUAAUACAGAGGGCGCAAGCGUUGUUCGGAAUCAUUGGGCGUAAAGCGGGUGUAGGCGGCUUGGCAAGUCGGGUGUGAAAUCCCUGGGCUCAACCCAGGAACUGCACUCGAAACUGCCUCGCUAGAGUCCCGGAGAGGGUGGCGGAAUUCCCGGUGUAGAGGUGAAAUUCGUAGAUAUCGGGAGGAACACCAGUGGCGAAGGCGGCCACCUGGACGGUGACUGACGCUCAGACCCGAAAGCGUGGGUAGCACACAGGAUUAGAUACCCUGGUAGUUCCACGCCGUAAACUUUGGGUGCUCGACGUAGCGGGUAUUGACCCCUGCUGUGUCCAAGCUAACGCGAGAAGCACCCCGCCCUGGGGAGUACGGUCGCAAGACUA
rnacentral:rRNA from 1 species